GAACACACCCUUGCCAAGUUCAAUUUUACUUUCUCUUCUCUCUCCUCUUUGACUAGUCAAAACUUCUCUCUCUUAUCUCUUCUUCUCUCUCCUCUCUCUUCUCCCUCAUCCCACGUGAUCUUCUUCUUCUUCGUUCUUCUUUGUGCGAACGAGACCAAAACCAGCAAAGAAGAAAAUUAGCUCGCCGAAGCUCAUCACCGCUGCACCGGAGCCGGACCACCACCCGCGCAACACUCGCCCGCGCACGCCGCGUGCUCCGCCACCGCCCCUUCACGUGUGCCGUCCUCGCCGUGCACCAUUCAGCCUCUACUCAGCCCGUGUUCCGCCCCGUCCGGCCACCUCCGGCCACUGUGGGCCACCGCUCGGCCUCGCCAAGCCACCACCCGCUCUCCCGACCUCUUGCCGCCCCCAACCCUCUCUCUUUCUUGCUGUUUUGCGGCCGAACCAGCAAACCCGCGAGUGGGUUUCCAGCCGGUUCGUGGGCCGUUUUGGGCCGUUUCCAGGCCCCGGAUGCGCAAGUCGCUUUGGGAAGUUUCGUUCCUCGCGUCGCCCCCGUCGGAUUGAUCCGAUUUGCGUGCGAUUUGGAUUCCGUUGAGGAGUUGAGGAGGAGGAGUCUGAGAAGGAGAACUCGAAGGCGAACUUGAGGAAAAUGAUUUUUGGAAGAAGAAGAUAAUUCCGAAGGGGGUCUUGAGUACGACCCAGAUGGACUGAGAGUCUAUCUUCUUUUGAGAAUUCCUUUUGAAGUGAAUAGUUAUGAAGUGGUUUGUGUUUUGUAUAAAAGUUUGGCUAUAAGUUUCAAUAUGAAAAAUAUGGCCCUGCUUUUCUA